rnacentral:misc_RNA from 1 species
UCUCCGUUGGUGAACCAGCGGAGGGAUCAUUAUCGAGUUUAUAACUCCCAAACCCUAUGUGAACUUACCACUUGUUGCUUCGGCGCGCGCUUCGGCGCCGCCGAGGACACUUAAACUCUUUGUUUUUAUAAGCAUUUCUGAGUGGCCGAAAGGCAAAAUACAAAUGAAUCAAAACUUUCAACAACGGAUCUCCUGGUUCUG